rnacentral:rRNA from 1 species
UGGCUCAGAUUGAACGCUGGCGGCAUGCUUUACACAUGCAAGUCGAACGGUAGCACGUGUUAGCAUGGUGACGAGUGGCGAACGGGUGAGUAAUACAUCGGAACGUACCCGGUAGUGGGGGAUAACGUAGCGAAAGCUAUGCUAAUACCGCAUACGAUCUACGGAUGAAAGCAGGGGACCUUAAGGCCUCAUGCUGAUGGAGCGGCCGAUGUCAGAUUAGGUAGUUGGUGAGAUAAAGGCUCACCAAGCCGACGAUCAGUAGCUGGUCUGAGAGGACGACCAGCCACACUGGGACUGAGACACGGUCCAGACUCCUACGGGAGGCAGCAGUGGGGAAUUUUGGACAAUGGGCGCAAGCCUGAUCCAGCCAUGCCGCGUGCAUGAUGAAGGCCUUCGGGUUGUAAAGUUCUUUUGUCAGGAAAGAAACGACUCCUUCUAAUAUUGGGGGUUCAUGACGGUACCGUAAGAAUAAGCACCGGCUAACUACGUGCCAGCAGCCGCGGUAAUACGUAGGGUGCGAGCGUUAAUCGGAAUUACUGGGCGUAAAGCGUGCGCAGGCGGUUAUAUAAGUCAGUUGUGAAAUCCCCGGGCUCAACCUGGGAAUUGCGUUGGUGACUGCAUAGCUAGAGUACGGCAGAGGGGGAUGGAAUUCCGCGUGUAGCAGUGAAAUGCGUAGAUAUGCGGAGGAACACCGAUGGCGAAGGCAAUCCCCUGGGCCAGGAUUGACGCUCAUGCACGAAAGCGUGGGGAGCAAACAGGAUUAGAUACCCUGGUAGUCCACGCCCUAAACGAUGUCUACUAGUUGUUGGGAAUUCACUAUCUCAGUAACGCAGCUAACGCGUGAAGUUGACCGCCUGGGGAGU